rnacentral:misc_RNA from 1 species
AAGUCGUAACAAGGUUUCCGUAGGUGAACCUGCGGAAGGAUCAUUAACACUUUUUCUUUUUUUUCUUCCUUUCUCUUUGAAAAAAGAAAAGGGGGAAAAAAAAAAAAUCCUAUCCACCCCAUUUGAACGAACGAUGAUUCUUUUUCGAAUCUCUUCUUUAUUCUCCAACCUUUUUUUUUACCCCAUAUACCAAAAAUGCGAUAGACUGAUAUCAUUUUUCACAAAAAGUGAUCAUCAUAAAAUGAAUGAUUAUUUUGAAAACAACUCUUAGCAACGGAUAUCUUGGCUCUC